AUUGAACGCUGGCGGCAUGCUUUACACAUGCAAGUCGGACGAGUGGCGAACGGGUGAGUAACAUAUCGGGACGUACCGAGUAAUGGGGGAUAACUAAUCGAAAGAUUAGCUAAUACCGCAUACUAUUCGAGCGGCCGAUAUCGGAUUAGCUGGUUGGUGGGGUAAAGGCCUACCUAGGCGACGAUCAGUAGCGGGUCUGAGAGGAUGAUCAGCCACACUGGGACUGAGACACGGCCCAGACUCCUACGGGAGGCAGCAGUGGGGAAUAUUGGACAAUGGGCGCAAGCCUGAUGCAGCCAUGCCGCGUGUCUGAAGAAGGCCUUCGGGUUGUAAAGUACUUUUAGCAGGGAGGCGGUACCGGAAGAAGAAGCACCGGCUAACUACGUGCCAGCAGCCGCGGUAAUUC
rnacentral:rRNA from 1 species